rnacentral:rRNA from 1 species
CACUAUGGCCAUGCCACCUUGAACAAGCCUGAUCUCGUCUGAUCUCAGAAGCUAAGCAGAGUUGGGCCUGGUUAGUACUUGGAUAGGAGACCACCUAGAAAUACCAGGUGCUAUAGGCU